ACACAGUUAAAAUAAAAGAGAAUGGCAGAAGGAAAGAAAAACGAACGUGUAAUGGAAGUUGAUGAUGCUACAGAC